GGAGAAUGGCCUUUCUCUACAAAUAGGGUGAGUAAAAUACACACCUCUCCGGUGCAGCAUUAGGGGGUGUUCACACAGGCAGUUUUUUUUUCAGGUGCGGCUGGAUGUUUUACAUUAUAUUCCUAUGAUACAUCCUAUGAUACAUAGGAAUAUGCCAGCGGGUUUUUUUCACUGCUCUGGGUGGUUUUCAAGUUGGGAUAAAUUCAACUCGCCAAGAAAAAGCACCCGACAUCAGGCAGUUUUUUGACAGCUGACCAAUGAACGAGAACCUACGUCACUAGGAAAAACGUUGGAAAUUCAAGAAUGGCGACCCAAACCAAGAUGUCUUUCCCGACGGAGCAACUUGUUGUCCUUGUUAGUGAACAUGUUGAGUUAUACGACAUGACCAACAAGUUAUACCAUAACAUAUAUCACAAGGAGAGUAUCUGGAGGACGAUCGGUGGGAUUUUGGGACAUAAGUGUAAGUAUUCAUUUUAAUGUUUAUCUGCUCACCGAACAAACUAUCCAGUUAUCACCGUUAAACGUGUUUCUAAUAACAUUUCAAGCGAGAAAUAUACUUUUUACUUGCAUAAUCUUUAGUCAGUGAUUGUGUCUGAUCUUUAGUUUUAUGUUAUUUGGAAGAUUUUAUCGGCUCGAUGUCAAAGAUGUCCGGUUGCUAGGGACGCUGCUUUCACACAGCUGAGGGCACAGCUGAGGGCUGUUGUUACGGACAACGCAAGCGUUAGUAGCUGCUAGCGAAAGUCUUGGUAGGGCUUAAUCCUAGCCUAUUGUUUACUUUUAUUCACUGUAGGGGAGGAUUGCCGUGACAAAUGGAAAUACCUUAGAGGCAUAGUACGGCAAAGAAAGAAAGGAAAUGAAGGAGAGAAGGAGUGGAUCGGAGGGAGGCCAUAAGCACAGUUGGAAAUAUGUCAAUCUUUUCUGGAGCCUUAUGUACAGGAAAGGCUCACAAUUAGUAACUUCGACCAGCCAAGCCUGACAGCAGAGAGCAUUUUGAAUGCAAUGUGUGAAAACAAUGAGGCCCCCACCCUCUCCAUCUCCACCCCCACAACCACCUCAACAACAACAGCAGCAGGAAUUCGGGCCCAUGAGAGUUCAAAGAGGGAGGAAGAGGCAGGCCACUGCAACCAUAACCCCCUACCAGCAACAGGUCCUCAGUGCCAUUGCUAAAGAGGAAAAUGAGCAUGAGCAUUUCCUUCUGAACUUUGCACCCACACUGGCAAGGUUGGAGCCUCGCAAAUAGGCAUUGCUAAAGUGUAGAAUGCAGUCACUGUUUUAUGAUAUCGAAUUUGGAGAAUGAAUGAAAUUAUUAAAUUAAAUUAUUACAUUUAAACACCGACAUCUGCUUUGUACCACUUUCUUUACAUUAGAUAUUCC
ensembl:lncRNA